AUACGUAGGGGGCGAGCGUUGUCCGGAAUGAUUGGGCGUAAAGGGCGCGUAGGCGGCCCGGUAAGUCUGGAGUGAAAGUCCUGUUUUUAAGAUGGGAAUUGCUUUGGAUACUGUCGGGCUUGAGUGCAGGAGAGGUAAGUGGAAUUCCCAGUGUAGCGGUGAAAUGCGUAGAGAUUGGGAGGAACACCAGUGGCGAAGGCGACUUACUGGACUGUAACUGACGCUGAGGCGCGAAAGCGUGGGGAGCGAACAGGAUUAGAUACCCUGGUAGUCCACGCUGUAAACGAUGAAUGCCAGGUGUAGGGGGUAUCGACCCCUCCUGUGCCGGAGUAAACGCAAUAAGCAUUCCGCCUGGGGAGUACGGCCGCAAGGUUGAAACUUAAAGGAAUUGACGGGG
rnacentral:rRNA from 1 species